UAUUAAAACGCAAAUCAAAUAAGUUGUGUAUGGUUUAUAGUGUCGUAAAUUUAAAAAAAAUAUUAUUUUUAGAAUAUGCAAUGUAUUUGAAAAGCGCAUUUUGUUUUGCAUUAUUUAUGGCUUAUAAAGCAUACGGAUUUAUAAUGCCAAAUGCUUUGGAGACAGAGCAAACUUCCUUCUUCGGGUUCACACAUGAGGUAAGGAUUAGCUCCAGUACAAUGGAACUAGUCGAGGAGUUGGAGGGGGCACUAUUUCAACAUUCGGAAGGUGAUCGCCAAGUAAGGCGAUAUUUUGACGCCUACGACACGCCAUUUGUUGGAGAAGAGAGGAGAAAAUCUAAUUAUAAUUAUGAUUAAAUACCAA